rnacentral:pre_miRNA from 1 species
AUGAUACUAUCUCCGUCCUAAAAUUCUUGUCUUAGAUUUGUCAAGAUACAAAUGUAUCUAACACUAAAAUGUGACUAGGUACGUCCGUAUUUUGGUAAAUCUAAGAUAAUAAUUUUGGGACAGAGGGAGUAUGAG